ACUUAAAUAAUUUAAUAAAAAUAUUGAUUUGUGGAGUCAAAAAUAUGAAAAGGGUAUCAUUUUAAGUU
rnacentral:tRNA from 1 species